rnacentral:misc_RNA from 1 species
CAAGAUAGUGCUUCAUUCAGUAUUGCUGUAUCUAGAGCCACUUGAUUAUUACUGAAUCAUUGUAUGACGAAUUCCAAAAUUAGAAGCACACAUUCAUGUCAAUUUUAGCUAUUAAAGCACAAGUCCUAACUAGAGACAUGGGAAUUUCAAACAGAUCCAUAACGUGCAAACCACAGUUUGAUUAAAUCAAUUUCUGCAAUAAAAGUACUAUAUUUG